rnacentral:miRNA from 1 species
UAUCAGGCAAAACAUUAGUCAAAUG